CUCUGGUCCUAAAACAUUUCCAUGAAAGGACUGUCAGGAAAAGACCAGAGUCUUUUCUAAGCGCUAUUUUAGUGUCUUUAGCCAACACUGUGUGGCUGGCUAGUGCAUAGACACUGGAAGUCAUGCUUUCUGAAGCCCCUGUCCAGCUGCCUACUGUGGAAUGUAAUGUUUGGGUCUUUGUUUGUAAUCAUUAUAUUUGAAAAAGGUUCAGCGUUCAGCAUUCUUCAUAAAAGUUGGACAGCUUUUUAAAACAUGAUAGCAGUGGUUUAAGGAUUGAAGUUUAUAAUCUAAUGGGAUUUCUAUCUGCCAGGCCUAUUUUCUUAUUAUAUUGACCCAGAUAAUUGCUGUCUCUGAAAUCUUAAUUCUACAGAUGGGGUCCUCCAGGACAGAAGUGGAAGCAGACCUGUUUCUCUGAAAACACAGCUCAGUUUCAGAGGCAUGCGAAGGCUGUGGCAUUUGAGAUGGACAUGCAUGGCAAAGGGGGAAAGACCAGGCAAAGAUGUGGCAGUUUUCUGAAUUUGCAUUCACAGUCUAAAUUGGCAGUGGAUCCUCUGAUGGGAUUUCAGAUACACACUUCUGUUUCUAAGAGAUACAACAAGACACACACAAGAAGACCAUGCUGGAAAGUCGACGGGGGAUUGGUGUACAGGCUAAAAGGAGGAAGCUGA
rnacentral:lncRNA from 1 species